rnacentral:rRNA from 1 species
CGCUGGUCGGAAAUUAGAAGGGCUUCCCGUGAACGGAGCCGUCCGAUCGCGAGUUUCGGCCAGGACAGACGCAUUUGUCUCCCGCACUGAGGACGCCGCAGCCCGUGGGGAAGUGCAGACGUGACGGCCUGGAAGGCGAGAAAMGGCAGGUGGCCGGUGGCGAGCGUUGUGCYCUUUGCCGGGUGUUAGCCGUCUCGUCGGUGGCUCGUCUCCCCACGGAGGUGAAUAAUCUCCUCCUCGAUGAAGUCUGGACGUGCAGUCGCGAGCGAAGACAACCGCGUGGUCGGCACUCCGUCGGAGUGGGCCAGCGUCAGGUCGGCGCCGUCGGUGACUGAGGACCAGUGGGAGGUUGGUGGCUAGCGGCGACUUGGUCGGUCGCCCACCCGACCCGUCUUGAAACACGGACCAAGGAGUCUAACAUGUGCGCGAGUCAAUGGGUCUCGAAUAAGCCCAGAGGCGCAACGAAAGCGAAGUUCGGUUCCACGCCGAACGUGUCGGGAUCCCGCUACUCCGGUAGCGGGCGCACCGACGACCUGUCUUCUGCGACUUGUCGCUUGGACGGAGUAUGAGCGUACACGUUGGGACCCGAAAGAUGGUGAACUAUGCCCAGGCAGGAUGAAGCCAGAG